GACGAACCGUGCGAACGUUAUUCGGAAUCACUGGGCUUAAAGCGCGUGUAGGCGGAACGGCACGUCGGUCGCUGAAAGCCCCCGGCUCAACCGGGGAACGGGCGCCGAUACGACCGUUCUGGAGGAACGUAGGGGGAGCUGGAACUUCCGGUGGAGCGGUGAAAUGCGUUGAGAUCGGAAGGAACGCCCGUGGCGAAAGCGAGCUCCUGGACGUUUUCUGACGCUGAGACGCGAAAGCCAGGGGAGCGAACGG
rnacentral:rRNA from 1 species